UCUGGUUAAAAGUAGUGCACUAUGUAGGGAAUAGGGGGCCAUUUUGGGAGGCAGGAGGUGUGAGCUGUAGGUGGAGAUCCACUUGUCUAUUUGUGAUGUAAUCUGAUGUUCUCUACUACAGUGUAUUAACUGAAGGGGAUCAAAUGAAGUUAAACCCGUGGGACUCACUCAUACAGUGACGUUGGAGUAUGGAGAUGUAUUUACACCCCAUAAUGGGAGAGGCACAUUCUAGAAGGUUAUUCUAAAGUGUUCUAUUCUGAAAAUUGCCAGUUCAACAAGGUUUCAAGGAGCAGCCCUUUGUAAUGUUAGUUAUCAGUUAGAAUGUUUGACAACAGCGUGUCUCAUACUCCUCAUGAAGUUACCAUCUUCUAAGUUAUAGUUCUAGAAUGACCAUCUUCUAAGUUAUAGUUCUAGAAUGACCAUCUUCUAAGUUCUACAUCUAGAAUGACCAUCUUCUAAGUCCUACAUCUAGAAUGACCAUCUUCUAAUUCCUACAUCUAGAAUGACCAUCUUCUAAGUCCUACAUCUAGAAUGACCAUCUUCUAAGUUAUAGUUCUAGAAUGACCAUCUUCUAAGUUAUAGUUCUAGAAUGACCAUCUUCUAAGUUAUAGUUCUAGAAUGACCAUCUUCUAAGUUCUACAUCUAGAAUCUCAUUUCUGUUACUGUGUCUUUCAGUUGCCUCCUGUCUCUGUUAUAGUUGACACACCUGAGCUGUUAUUGGAUCCAUGUAAAACAACAUGGCUUCACGCUGUCUGGGGGAGUGUUACCAUGGUAACAUAUCAACUUCACGCUGUCUGGGGGAGUGUUACCAUGGUAACAUAUCAACAGACAACUGUUGUUUUCUCAGGUUUGUCCUUUUAUAGUUGCUCUAUUUUUUCAAUGCUUCUUGAAUGUCAUUUCCCCAAAAUGUCUGCCUCUUUGCCUAUUGAGAGAGUUGCUCUAUAAAAAGAUAACGCCAUUCACCAUGUAUCAACCAUCUUCCAUUAAACAUCAUGUAAACAUCCUGA